rnacentral:ncRNA from 1 species
AAAUUAGCAGUGAGAAAGAGGAGUAAAACUUAAGUUAAGUAUUAAGAGAGGAAAGCACAUGGCUGUAAGGUUUUCUAUAUUUACAAGUUUGAAGGUAGCUUUUGAGCUUCUUUGCUGAAUUUUUAGUAGGUAAAGACGGCAGUCGUGUCGUUAUAGAAUAAGAGCCCAUGAUUUUGUGGGAAUAAAGGUGGUACCGCGAGUCUUCGUCCUUUUU